GCCAAUGUGACUUAGUGGUUUGAAUGUUGGACUAUGAUUCUAGGCACCAGAGUUUAAUUCCCUGCUUGGCCA